rnacentral:rRNA from 1 species
CUUUCAACAACGGAUCUCUUGGCUCUCGCAUCGAUGAAGAACGCAGCGAAAUGCGAUAAGUAAUGUGAAUUGCAGAAUUCAGUGAAUCAUCGAAUCUUUGAACGCACAUUGCGCCUUUUGGUAUUCCGAAAGGCAUGCCUGUUUGAGUGUCAUAA